rnacentral:tRNA from 2 species
AAUGGUAUAGUUUAUUUCUCUUUGCCAAGGAGAAGAUGCGGGUUCGAUUCCCGCUAUCCGCC